CCGGAAACCCUCACACAAUUCAGUGGCAAGGAAAUGUCUUCCUUUGCUGUGCUUGUUACCCUUGAAUGAGAAGUGCUCAACUUCAGGAUGGAUCAUUCACUGAUACCAUGAGGACCAAUGAACAUCACUGGCCACCAAAGAGCUGUGGAAGAAAUCUCACUGCGGAGCUGACUUCUAUCCCUCUCGACGGUACACGACCCUCCUUUAUUUCAACUCAGCUGUCACCUAAGCCUGCCAGGGAUCCAACAGCAUAUACUGGUCACAGCGCAUCGUUGAAUAAUACUCCUCAGGAAGUGUGCAGAUCCGCUUUUUCCUUCAUCAUUUCAGACAGGUGAACCCACUCUUGUUCACUAACUGGAGCCACGAGUCCAGGGCUCUAGAUAUCAACGUAUCAGCACACAUAGUGUCCACUUAAUACAUGCUAGAUUCUUAUUGCUCCCUGUCCUCUAGAUGCUUAUGAUUAAAUAUCAAAGUUACUUUAACCAUUCUAGAAUUUGGAAAUACUUGGCUUAAUUUACAAAUUCAUUGUCCUUUUAAAUGACUUUCCACGCAUAUGUAGGUUAACCCUUCUUUUUGCAGUUGCGUUCCUAAAAGUCUCAGACACCAAGUGAAAGCUGAAAUGUUAGUAAGUAUCUCAAAUUGGUUCUGAAGUCAGAGAAAUCUCCAAGUGAGACUAUCUAAUUAAAAGAUGUGCAACUUUUUGGACAUGAAAUCCACCUUACUGUUUCCCUGUCUUCUUUUAGCACUUAAGGCGGCUCAUUUAUUUCUGGUGCUGCACUUGUCAAGAUUUGGGGAGAGAAUGUGUUUGCAUAUAUGUGUGUGUCCUUGGGUUUGGGGGUGGCGAUUCAGGCAUGCUGCCAGGGAGAUCUGGCUUCCUGCCUUAGACUCUCCUUUACUCCCUAAUCAUGGUGUAGGCUGUUCAUUCCCUAAAAUCUCUUUCUCAGCUUUUGUUCCUUGCUUGCCACAUUGAGAAGAAAAAAAAAAUGCAGGGGGUGGGGGGCACAUUGGGGAUCAGUUGAGACCAAGAGAAAAGAGACAACUACCUAACAGAGGGAAGAUGAUGUACUUUUUCCCUAACGUUAGCUUCCUGGGUGCUCACCUCAUGGGUGAGGUGGAGCUCUGAUUUUCUCCAUGUCUGUCUUCUCUUCUUGAACUCAGACAAUGGGUCCAAUUCAAA